rnacentral:rRNA from 1 species
UUGAACGCUGGCGGCAUGCUUUACACAUGCAAGUCGAACGGCAGCGGGGGCUUCGGCCUGCCGGCGAGUGGCGAACGGGUGAGUAAUGCAUCGGAACGUGCCCAGUCAUGGGGGAUAACUACGCGAAAGCGUAGCUAAUACCGCAUACGACCUGAGGGAGAAAGCGGGGGCUCGCAAGACCUCGCGCGCUUGGAGUGGCCGAUAUCUGAUUAGCUAGAUGGUGAGGUAAAGGCUCACCAUGGCGACGAUCGGUAGCUGGUCUGAGAGGAUGAUCAGCCACACUGGGACUGAGACACGGCCCAGACUCCUACGGGAGGCAGCAGUGGGGAAUUUUGGACAAUGGGCGAAAGCCUGAUCCAGCCAGUCCGCGUGAGUGAAGAAGGCCUUCGGGUUGUAAAGCUCUUUCAGCCGGAAAGAAAUCGCGCAGGCUAAUACUCUGCGUGGAUGACGGUACCGGAAGAAGAAGCACCGGCUAACUCCGU